rnacentral:tRNA from 1 species
GGGGAUGUAGCUCAGUGGUAGAGUGCUUGCCUAGCAUACAUGAGACCUUAGGUUUCAUCCUCA